CCCGCACAAGUAGCGGAGCAUGUGGUUUAAUUCGAAGCAACGCGAAGAACCUUACCUAAGCUUGACAUCCCAUUGACCUCUCCCUAAUCGGAGAUUUCCCUUCGGGGACAAUGGUGACAGGUGGUGCAUGGUUGUCGUCAGCUCGUGUCGUGAGAUGUUGGGUUAAGUCCCGCAACGAGCGCAACCCUUGCCUUUAGUUGCCAGCAUUAAGUUGGGCACUCUAGAGGGACUGCCGAGGAUAACUCGGAGGAAGGUGGGGAUGACGUCAAAUCAUCAUGCCCCUUAUGCUUAGGGCUACACACGUGCUACAAUGGGUGGUACAGAGGGUUGCCAAGCCGUGAGGUGGAGCUAAUCCCUUAAAGCCAUUCUCAGUUCGGAUUGUAGGCUGAAACUCGCCUACAUGAAGC
rnacentral:rRNA from 1 species